rnacentral:rRNA from 1 species
UACGGGGGGGGGCAAGCGUUGUUCGGAAUUAUUGGGCGUAAAGAGCUUGUAGGCGGUCUGUCGCGUCUGCUGUGAAAAUCCGGGGCUCAACCCCGGACUUGCAGUGGGUACGGGCAGACUAGAGUGUGGUAGGGGACGACUGGAAUUCCUGGUGUAGCGGUGAAAUGCGCAGAUAUCAGGAGACACCCGUGGCGAAGGCGGUUCUCUGGGACGGUACUGACGCUGAGACGCGAAAGCGUGGGGAGCGAACAGG